rnacentral:pre_miRNA from 1 species
UGUGCACUGGUGGGGUCCCUCAGCCUGGCCUGCUCUCGCAAUACGGGACCCCUUGGGGGAUGUCAGACAGCCGCUUUUGGCCUGAUCCUGCAGGCCAGGCUGAGGGACCCCACUGGUGCAUG